rnacentral:rRNA from 1 species
UGGGGAAUAUUGCACAAUGGCGGGAACUCUGAUGCAGCGACGCCGCGUGAACGAAGAAGGCUUUCGAGUCGUAAAGCUCUUUUAUAUGGGAAGAUAAUGACGGUACCAUAAGAAAAAGCCCUGGCUAACUACGUGCCAGCAGCCGCGGUAAUACGUAGGGGGCUAGCGUUGUCCGGAAUCACUGGGCGUAAAGGGUUCGCAGGCGGAAAUGCAAGUCAGGUGUAAAAGGCAGUAGCUUAACUACUGUAAGCAUUUGAAAUUGCAUAUCUUGAGAAGAGUAGAGGUAAAUGGAAUUUUUAGUGUAGCGGGGAAAUGCGUAGAUAUUAAAAAGAAUACCGGUGGCGAAGGCGACUUACUGGGCUCAUUCUGACGCUAAGGAACGAAAGCGUGGGUAGCAAACAGG